rnacentral:rRNA from 1 species
ACCGGCAGCUCAAGUGGUGGCCAUUAUUAUUGGGCCUAAAGCGUUCGUAGCCGGUUUGAUAAGUCUCUGGUGAAAUCCCGCAGCUUAACUGUGGGACUUGCUGGAGAUACUAUCAGACUUGAGGACGGGAGAGGUUAGGGGUACUCCUAGUGUAGGGGUGAAAUCCUAUAAUCCUGGGAGGAACACCUGUGGCGAAGGCGCCUAACUGGAACGAACCUGACGGUGAGUAACGAAAGCCUGGGGCGCGAACAG